ACGCCUGCGCCUUCAUAGUCCCAGCAUACGUACAGCGCGCACACCACUACGCCAUACGUUACGUUAGCGGAAGUUUCACGGCACCAUUGGUGUAAUGUGUGGCCAAUAAACGGCAAGAAUAAAGCGGAUUCCUCCUUCUUCCCGACGAACUGGAUACGUUCCGCUAAUAAUGUGGUCCGUCAGUUUCAGCAUUUAGACGCUCGAGUUUCCACCGAGUCAGAAGACGAGGUCUCACUAUGUUGCUCAGGUUGGUCUCAAACUCCUGACCUCAAGCGAUCGUCCCACCUGGGCCUCCCAAAACGCUGGAAUUACAGAUGCAGUCUUGUUUUGUCACCCAGACUGGAACGUGGCGGCAUGAUCAUCGCUCACUGCAACCUCCACCUCCGGGGUUAAAGUGAUCCUCCCACCUCAGCUUCCCAAGUUAGGUUUUAAAUCUAGAAUAAAUAAUUCCUUGUUAACAAGAAUAAAAUUGUUUUGCCAAUACAAAAUUUUUGUCAUAUA